rnacentral:rRNA from 1 species
UACAGAGGUCCCAAGCGUUGUUCGGAUUCACUGGGCGUAAAGGGUGCGUAGGCGGUCGGGUAAGUCUGAUGUGAAAUCUCACAGCUUAACUGUGAAACUGCAUUGGAUACUAUUCGGCUUGAGAGUUGGAGGGGGGCGUGGAAUUCCGGGUGGAGCGGUGAAAUGCGUAGAGAUCCGGAGGAACACCGACGGCGCAGGCAGCGCCCUGGCUGUGAUAGCUGACACUGAGGCACGAAAGCUGGGGGAGCAAACAGG